rnacentral:tRNA from 2 species
GGGUCCUUAGCUCAUUUGGCUAGAGCGCCACAUUGACGUUGUGGAGGUGAGAGGUUCGAAUCCUCUAGGACCCACCA